AGGACGAACGCUGGCGGCGUGCUUAACACAUGCAAGUCGAACGGUGAAGCCCUUCGGGGUGGAUCAGUGGCGAACGGGUGAGUAACACGUGAGCAAUCUGCCCUUGACUCUGGGAUAACUUCGGGAAACCGGAGCUAAUACCGGAUAUGACAUACGGCCGCAUGGUCUGUGUGUGGAAAGAUUUAUCGGUCAAGGAUGAGCUCGCGGCCUAUCAGCUUGUUGGUGGGGUAAUGGCCUACCAAGGCGACGACGGGUAGCCGGCCUGAGAGGGCGACCGGCCACGACUGGGACUGAGACACGGCCCAGACUCCUACGGGAGGCAGCAGUGGGGAAUAUUGCGCAAUGGGCGAAAGCCUGACGCAGCGACGCCGCGUGAGGAUGAAGGCCUUCGGGUCGUAAACCUCUUUCAGCAGGGAAGAAGCGAAAGUGACGGUACCUGCAGAAGAAGCACCGGCUAACUACGUGCCAGCAGCCGC
rnacentral:rRNA from 1 species